rnacentral:rRNA from 1 species
CCUACGGGAGGCAGCAGUGAGGAAUAUUGGUCAAUGGACGAGAGUCUGAACCAGCCAAGUAGCGUGAAGGAUGACUGCCCUAUGGGUUGUAAACUUCUUUUAUACGGGAAUAAAAUGAGUCACGUGUGCCUUUUUGUAUGUACUUUAUGAAUAAGGAUCGGCUAACUCCGUGCCAGCAGCCGCGGUAAUACGGAGGAUCCGAGCGUUAUCCGGAUUUAUUGGGUUUAAAGGGAGCGUAGGUGGUUUGUUAAGUCAGCGGUGAAAGUUUGUGGCUCAACCAUAAAAUUGCCGUUGAAACUGGCUGACUUGAGUAUAUUUGAGGUAGGCGGAAUGCGUGGUGUAGCGGUGAAAUGCUUAGAUAUCACGAAGAACUCCGAUUGCGAAGGCAGCUUACUAGACUGCAACUGACACUGAAGCUCGAAAGCGUGGGUAUCAAACAGGAUUAGAUACCCCUGUAGUC